rnacentral:rRNA from 1 species
AGGAAUUGACGGGGACCCGCACAAGCGGUGGAGCAUGUGGUUUAAUUCGAUGCAACGCGAAAAACCUUACCACUCCUUGACAUGAAGAUUAGAUCCUCCUUAACAGGAGGGCGCAGUUUCGGCUGGGUCUUGCACAGGUGCUGCAUGGCUGUCGUCAGCUCGUGUCGUGAGAUGUUGGGUUAAGUCCCGCAACGAGCGUAACCCUCACCCUUAGUUGCCAGCGGGUAAUGCCGGGGACUUUAAGGGAACUGCCAGUGGUAAGCUGGAGGAAGGUGGGGAUGAUGUCAAGUCAGCAUGGCCCUUAUGGGGUGGGCUACACACGUGCUACAAUGGUGACUACAAUAGGUUGCAA